rnacentral:rRNA from 1 species
UCAGAUUGAACGCUGGCGGCAGGCUUAACACAUGCAAGUCGAGCGGAGUGAUGGUGCUUGCACUAUCACUUAGCGGCGGACGGGUGAGUAAUGCUUAGGAAUCUGCCUAUUAGUGGGGGACAACAUCUCGAAAGGGAUGCUAAUACCGCAUACGUCUACGGGAGAAAGCAGGGGAUCACUUGUGACCUUGCGCUAAUAGAUGAGCCUAAGUCGGAUUAGCUAGUUGGUGGGGUAAAGGCCUACCAAGGCGACGAUCUGUAGCGGGUCUGAGAGGAUGAUCCGCCACACUGGGACUGAGACACGGCCCAGACUCCUACGGGAGGCAGCAGUGGGGAAUAUUGGACAAUGGGGGGAACCCUGAUCCAGCCAUGCCGCGUGUGUGAAGAAGGCCUUAUGGUUGUAAAGCACUUUAAGCGAGGAGGAGGCUCUUUUGGUUAAUACCCAAGAUGAGUGGACGUUACUCGCAGAAUAAGCACCGGCUAACUCUGUGCCAGCAGCCGCGGUAAUACAGAGGGUGCAAGCGUUAAUCGGAUUUACUGGGCGUAAAGCGCGCGUAGGCGGCCAAUUAAGUCAAAUGUGAAAUCCCCGAGCUUAACUUGGGAAUUGCAUUCGAUACUGGUUGGCUAGAGUGUGGGAGAGGAUGGUAGAAUUCCAGGUGUAGCGGUGAAAUGCGUAGAGAUCUGGAGGAAUACCGAUGGCGAAGGCAGCCAUCUGGCCUAACACUGACGCUGAGGUGCGAAAGCAUGGGGAGCAAACAGGAUUAGAUACCCUGGUAGUCCAUGCCGUAAACGAUGUCUACUAGCCGUUGGGGCCUGAGGCUUUAGUGGCGCAGCUAACGCGAUAAG